ACUGCGCCACCAGGGAAGCCCUGAUGGGUUAAAUUUGAUGAGCUUAAUAAAACUGACAAAUUGAACUUGGGGAGUGAAAACAAUAACAUUUUAUUAAUUUUGCCUUUUGAGCCCAAACCUGCUAACGCAGAGGAAAGCUUCUAAUAUGGACAGAAUUAUUCAUCAUUAAUCCCAAGAAGACAACACACAGAAUAUAGUCUUUAUCAUAACCUUCCACUUCCUCCUCUUACAGGCUGGUGAUACAGAUGGAUAAACACAUCUUUUUCGUGUGUUUAUUGAUCAGGCAGGAGGGGACAGUGGCAUCUGCGCCUGGGAGGGACCAGACCCCCUGUCGCUUAGUAUAGGAAAGGACACGUUUUCUCUCCAUUCACCUGUGAGAGCCUGGACGUGAAAGGGACAGUAGCAUUUGGUGGUUCAAGCUGUGGCUGUGUUACCGGAAGGGGAACCCGUCCCAGGGCCCAAGGGUGGGGUCUUUAAUACCCAGAAAUGAAUUGUCCAAGGAGACACAUGUACUGAUGAAGCAGAAGACUUUACUUUAGUGGGAAGGGGCACCCAGGUGGAGAGCAGCAGGGUAAGGGAACCCAGGAGACCUGCUCUGCCACAUGCUUGUAGUCUCAGGGUUUAUGGUAAUGGGUUUAGCUCCCCAGGUCCUCUAUGGCCAGUCAUUUUGCUUGUGCCUGUAUUUGGUCCAAUUCCUGGCAGUGCAGGCAUCUCAGUCAAGAUGGUUUCCAGUGUGAGGGUUUCUGAGAGGUUGGCAGGACAUGUUGUACGCUGGCGUCUCCUGCCUUCUUUUGGGCUCUCCCUAAUUCUUCUGGCUGUUGGUAGCUUGUUUGUCAGUCUGUGUUCCUUAUCAGGACCUCCUGUUGUAAGAUAAAUCAUGCAAGCGGUCAUUAUCCUCCCUGGGCAGGGCGGGCGGUUUCAGUCAGUGGUUCCCUAACAGCUGUGGGGAUCUUAAGUCACUGGUUUUUAUUAUGGUUGAGAUAAAACAUAAGGUUUACUUUUAGUGAGGCAAGGGUCUGGGGGCUUCAGGUGUGAAGCGUUAGAAGCACCACGUAGUGAAUGAAUGGAGAAGCAGGGUCAGCCCGGCGGCCAUGGCUCCCAGACCCUCCGGUCACUGGCCCUCCUUCCCUGGACCUGCUGGGUUCCACUGACCGAGCCUACGGGAAUCCCUCAGGGUGUGAGCUUGACUCUAAUCUUGUCCUGAGAAGCCUGCCUCAUAGGGAUGAAAUAUAAUUCAUAUUUUAUGGUAAGGCGAGAAAACCUUAGAUACAAAAUUUUUCUCUGCCCAUUUGGGCCUCAUCCCCCAUUUAGUGUGUGCUGUGCACCUGCACUGACCAGCCCUCCUAACUUAGAGAGGGCCUUCCUUCUUCAUCUCAUCAAGGGUCACAGCUCCUUAUGGGGUGACCUUCGUUCUUCAACUUGUAAGGGACCGUGAUGGCCCACCACUCACUGCUUGUACAUGCAGGUCUGGAUUGUGUAAACUGUCAGUGAUACAUUUGAUGUGUGACCCUUUGUCUCAGAAACAAAAGAGCAUCUCCCAGGUUGGCUUGAAUAAAAUUUUCCAUUUUUUCCUUAGAUCGACUGUUGGUUAAUUUUACUGUCAACAAUAGAAAGACUUACUUUAAAAAAAAAAAAAAAGCCCUUUUGUGAACAUUUCUGUUAAUCUCCAUGGGUGCAGUGGGGGCAGGUGCUGUGACCCCGCGAGGCCCAGGGAGGGUCGGGGACUUGCUGAGGUCCCCCAGCAGAGCUGCGGUCGAUUCUCACAGAUCUGACGGAGGAUGCAACACCGGAAGAAGAGCCAGGGCUGCUCCGUCUCGCCCUUUCCUGCCCCGCCGGCCGCAGGGUAGUGAUUGGUUGCCCAUGGCUGCAGGUUCCUUCGAGCCGGGCCAGGAAGUGAGCAGCAGCCAGGUCCCUGAGGCCGGCCGCAGGCUAGGAGCCAGCAGAGGGCCGUAGAAAGCAGCCGUGGUGGAAGUGACGUCUGGGCCCCUGGCGUGGGGCUCAGAGCCACGCCUGGCCUGGUUCCCCCACCAUGUCAGCCCUAAACACUGCCUUCACUUCAGAAGGUCAAGGGGGUGGGCUGUGGCCAUGACGUUGCAGACAGCGUUGGGAACACGACUUUGAUGGAUGGUACAGUGAGUUUUGGAAAGAGGAAGAAAAGCAGUUUCCAAGCUUUGAGAAAAAGGAACUGUUUGAAAGAUUUGGUGUAAGAAGCUGUCAAAUAUGGUUUUCACUCUGAUGCGAGCAGAGAGUCCGUGCCCCGAGUCACACUGACGGUUGUCCACACCUGAGGUGUGACCGUGACGAGUGCAUGGCAGCAAAAAGGACUUGCUCCUCCUCCUCGUGCCAUCCGAGGAAGCGCUGGCCAUGUGGGCAGAGGUUCGCGUCGGGUGACCACACGUCAGGAGGCGGCGCUACCACCCUCAGAGCCACUCUGCACUCCCCUUGGAGAAAACAGGUACUCAGCUAAGACACCAGCGCCAGCUGCACCUGGCCAGGAGUCUAGUUUCCUUGUGGGAAGUCUCGUGGAUUUGACUUGGCUGCUGCACCCCCAGGCAGGGACAUGGCUGCAGAGGACACGGCCUCGACCCGGCUGGGGGCCGGGAGGCAGCACCUCCGUCCACUGAAGAGGAGGGGCUUGGUGCUGCUGAGACUCACGGCCAUCGUCUUUGCUGUGCUUCUCUUUUGUGAAUUUCUAAUCUAUUACCUAGUGAUCUUCCGGUGCAGUUGGCCUGCAGUGAAAACUCCCGCGGAUGCCGGUGGACUCGGGACCCCUGAGCCUGUGCUCAGGGCCAUGUUCUUGGCUGACACCCACCUGCUUGGGGCUGUGAGAGGCCACUGGCUGGACAAAUUACGGAGGGAGUGGCAGAUGGAGCGAGCCUUCCAGACGGCACUGUGGCUGCUGCAGCCCGAAGUCGUCUUCAUCCUGGGAGACGUCUUUGACGAAGGGAAGUGGAGCUCCUCCCAGGCCUGGGCGGACGACGUGGGGCGCUUCUGGAAGAUCUUCCGACACCCGCCCCAUGUGCAGUUGAGGGCCGUGGCCGGUAACCAUGACAUCGGCUUCCACUACCAGAUGAACACAUACAAAAUAAAGCGAUUUGAGAAAGUUUUCAACCCUGAAAGGCUGUUUUCUUGGAAAGGAAUUAACUUCUGUGUCCCAGGGACACAGUUGCCAGCGGACAGCACAGGUGGCCCAUGGCUGAUCUCCUGCCCUUGCCUCAGUUUCGUGAUGAUUAACAGCGUCGCACUGGAAGGGGACAGCUGUGAUAUCUGCUCUGGAGCAGAGGCUGAGCUCCUGGAAAUCUCUCACCGGCUGAACUGCUCCCGGGAGCAGGAGCAUCGCCCCCAAGAGUGUGGAGACAGGCAGCGGCUGCCGGCCUCGGCCCCCAUCCUCCUGCAGCACUUCCCGCUUUACCGGAGAAAUGACGCCAACUGCUCCGGAAAGGACGCGGCACCCCCCGACGAGAAGUACACCCCCUUCAAGGAGCGCUACGACGCGCUCUCCCAGGAGGCCUCGAGGAAGCUGCUGUGGUGGCUCCGGCCGCGCCUGGUCCUCAGUGGCCACACGCACAGCGCCUGCGAGGUCCUGCACGGGGCCGGCGUCCUGGAGGUCAGCGUGCCAUCUUUCAGUUGGAGGAACAGAAACAACCCCAGUUUCAUCAUGGGCAGCGUCACGCCCACAGAGUACGCCCUUGCCAAGUGCUACCUGCCCUGCGAGGACACGGUUCUGACCACGUACUGCACGGCGGCCGGGGGCCUUGUGCUCCUCACGUUAGUCCACGCUGGGCUUGUAGCCUCACCUUUUCAUUUCGGUUGGAACAUGCUCAGAAAAUUUAAGACCACGUGAGUAGCAGGAGACGUUCUGCACUUCGUAGUUAAGUCCCGAAGCCAACGAAACUGAACUUCGGGCAGUGCUUACGGAGGGCGAGACCAAAGUGGGCCAUGGGCACAGCUCGUAGGAUCUGGGUUGCUGGUGCAGAGUCCUGCAGGAUCAAUAGUUGAUUGUGCUGUUCUCACGCUGUGAAAAUGGGACUUGUCUCUACAGCUGGUCUGUCUGCUCGUUGUAUCAAAUAUAUGUGUAAUCAAAGAUUGUGUCUGUACAGUGUGUAAAAGCUAUGAAUGUCAUCACUUGCAUGCACUAGACAGCCUCCCUUCCCCAAGACGGAGGGUCAGCUGUUCACAAAUGCUGGGUUUGCUUCUGUCCUCCUAUGAGUAGUUCUCAAGUUCUUAUAUUUUAUAAAGCUGUAUACUUAAAAUAAAAUACAGAUGCUACAAGCAGGAAUACAUUGUUCUCAAGGCUUUUGUAUUUCUGUGCUAAAUUAAUGGAAUCAGAUUUUUAUUAAUUAAUUAAUUUUUUUGGGCUGCGCCACGCGGCAUGCAGAAUCUUAGUUCCCUGACCAGGGAUCAAAACUGUGCCCCCUGCAGUGGAAGCACAGAGUCUUGACCACUGUACCGCCAGGGAAGUCCCUGGAAUCAGAUUUUUAGAUGAGCGUAAUUUUCUCUCCAGCAGACCAAGUUGUUAAAUUUGAAUUGAAUGCCUGUCAGUGACCAAAAGAAACUUGGAAAAUGGACCAGGAAGAGGCUUUUUGUAUUUAAAAAUAAAUAUGCUGUGGUAAUUUUAAACCGGAUAAAAUGUAUUCUUUUUUGUGUUUUUUUUCCUGAGAGUCUGGCUCUUCAAUCAGACUUUUAAAUAGGAAGUUUAGUUACAGUGGAAUUGUUGAAUAAUAAUGCAUGUGAAAAUAUACAAUUUCAUUUUUUUGGGUGUAUGUGUGGGGCUGUAGCUCUUCAGAUUUUCAUGUUUUACUUUGAAAAUGCAAUGGAAACUGAAAAUCAUUUCCACUUUAUAUGUCUCAGUUCAACUGAGAGUUUUAUGAAAUAAUCAAGGAUGACAGGAAGAGGAAUUCGAUGAUAAUGAAAUUUAAAAAAAUGUGAUGGUGCAUUGUCUGUAAAGUUGUCAUCCUUUAUUUCAUGGAAGAGCAGUAUUUAAAUGUGGAUGAGUUUACAAAGGAUUAUAAGAUGCUGCUUUAUAGAGUAAACUUAAAAAUAUUAAAGACUAAAAGACGAAAUGGAAGUUAAUGCAGUAACGCAGGCUAGGCUGCCCCAUCUCUGCAUUUGUGUCGUUGAAAUAUAAGCUUGGACAAUUUAAAAGAUUGUCUUUGACCUGAGAAAACCGCCCUCAAGGCCAUGGAUAGAUGAGAAUGGCUUUCUAGGUCUUGAGCUGGAUGUAACUCAUGAGGCUGCAUUUGCAAGUCUUUCAAGGUUGAGAAACAGCCAUGUAUUUUGACUUUGUAUUUCAGAUAAAGGCUUUGUAAUGUUUCUUCUUCAAAAGGCAAAUCACAUUCUAUCCUUUGAUUCUCCAAGGCCAGGCACAAGCCUGGAACCCUUGUCUUUUUCUCACUCUUUGUUUACGAUGAGACCUGUGGUCAAGUAAGUGGUUCAAAAACUUUGACUAAGGGAAUGGGUGACCUUGGAAAAGUCUUUAAAUUGCCAGAUAAUUGAGAAACAUGUUUUCUGGAGAGAAAAAGACAUCCUUGGUUCCCCGAAAGAAGCUUGUGAUGUGGGUGUGGCAUUUUGUGAAAUGUGGAUGAUUAACGUGUAUCAUUUAUAUUUAUAGAAAUUUUUAUAUAUAUAUUUAUCAAGGAGUAUUGUUAAAAAGUACCAACCUGAUAAAAUACCCUAAGCUCUCUAUACACCAUUCACUCCCUUUCUCAGAGCAAGCGGCAGUAUGAUGACAGCUGUUCAGCACAACAGAAACACGUUUCUUUUACAGGGACAGCCAUAGUCAAGGCACGGAGAUCUACAGGGAUUUUCCUUGAGUAGUUAUACAAAAUAAUAUUACAUUUCGUGGUCUGUACAGUGUAAUAAACCAGCAGUAAAACAACAAAAAGAACCUAUGAAAGGAGGCCGUUGCCUGAGCAGCGUCACUUUGACUUCAACAGUGGUUUAUGUUUGGUGCCGGGUGAACAGCUUCUACUCAAGUCAGAUGAAGCGUCUCACUGACUGGUGAGCCAGCCCCCAGUCGCCUGCACCUGGUGAACCGUCCUGCAGGGAGGGCUGCCAGCUCAUCCUGAGACUUUUCCCAGGAAAAAUGCUGACCAGACAGGGUUUGCCAGACGGGACCUUCCCGGCUUCAGCACUGAAAUUCCCGUGUCCCAGGAGCCUCACAGCCUCCCGGGACGGCUGGUCACCCGAUGAAGUCACCAUGCUGUGGCCAAAGUCAUCGCUGGGGACAGAGGCCUCAACACGGUGGUCGGCAGCGGGCGGCUCGGGACAGAGGUCACUGCUGCCCCAUCCCUGCGGGCCUGGCCGGAGUGACUCAGACAGCGACUUCCCGGUCAGUCACUGUGCGGGGUCAGCAGGCAGGUCCAGGCGGACCGACCGACACGGGGCCCCGGGAGGCAGAGCUUCCCUGCAAACCCCGCAUGCACGUCAAGCUGCCCUUCCUCCUUCUGCUCAGCGUGGACCAAGCUGAACUCUGAAAAUUUUACAGAUGGGACCCUAAGGACAUUUUAAUACUCUAGAAGCUAAGGGUGGGGCAGGAGUCAAGAAGAUUGAUCUAAAUUAACUGAGUUUCCUAGAUUCGUCAGAACCGUAGGAAUUACAGUUACAGGGCUAUGGAAAGAACAAUUCUUUCCCUUAAUCGCAAGAUACUUAUUUUGGAAUCUUACCGUCUUCAGGAACAGUAUAAUUUGCGUACUCUGGGAAAUAGUCUUCAAUCUUUGAUUUCCCUGCCAACACUUUUUCUGCCAGCAUAUCCUGUUUGUUCAAGAACAAGAUGAUGGAAAUGGUCCGUAACCACCUGGAAAGGAGCAGGAAACACACAGGUGUGGGCCCACUGCCUGAGCAGGCACCUCAGUCGCAGGCAUUAUCCAUGGAGAGGACAACGUGCUGCCCUCCGGACGAGGCGCCGGGCUUGGGAUUAUUUGAUGCCCCGGAACCUCAGCCCCCACUCCAUCUGCACACAAGACUCUCUCAUGAGGAUAAACCCUCAGGAGAAGGAUUCAGCUCCACAGGGCUGUACUGGCGCCAAAGCCAAGGUUCACGUCAGGAAUAAAUACGCUGGGA